rnacentral:rRNA from 1 species
UAGAAUAACAGUUUCAAAUGCAGUUCUAUGGUUAAGCCAUAGGAUUUCACAUCUGACUUGCUAUCCCGCCUACGCGCUCUUUACGCCCAGUGAUUCCGAGUAACGCUUGCACCCUCCGUAUUACCGCGGCUGCUGGCACGGAGUUAGCCGGUGCUUAUUCCUAAGAUACCGUCAUAAUCUUCUCUUAGAAAAGGAGUUUACAAUCCGAAAACCUUCAUCCUCCACGCGGCGUUGCUGCUUCAGGGUUUCCCCCAUUGAGCAAUAUUCCCUACUGCUGCCUCCCGUAGGAGUCUGGACCGUGUCUCAGUUCCAGUGUGUCCGUUCACCCUCUCAGGCCGGAUACCCGUC